UACAGAGGUCUCAAGCGUUGUUCGGAUUCAUUGGGCGUAAAGGUGCGUAGGCGGCGCGGUAAGUCGGGUGUGAAAUCUUGGAGCUUAACUCCGAAACUGCAUUCGAUACUGCCGUGCUUGAGGACUGGAGAGGAGACUGGAAUUUACGGUGUAGCGGUGAAAUGCGUAGAUAUCGUAAGGAAGACCAGUGGCGAAGGCGG
rnacentral:rRNA from 1 species